rnacentral:rRNA from 1 species
CGUGAGAUGUUUGGGUUAAGUCCCGCAACGAGCGCAACCCUUGUCCUUUUGUUGCCAGCGGGUAAAGCCGGGAACUCAAAGGAGACUGCCAGUGACAAACUGGAGGAAGGCAGGGAUGACGUCAAGUCAUCAUGGCCCUUACGGUCAGGGCUACACACGUGCUACAAUGGGGCGUACAGAGGGAAACGAUACCGCGAGGUGGAGUGGAACCCAAAAAGCGUCCCUAAGUUCGGAUUGGAGUCUGCAACUCGACUCCAUGAAGUCGGAUCGCUAGUAAUCG